rnacentral:lncRNA from 1 species
UCUUAUUGGGUAACUCUUGGAACUACAUUUUCGACAUAUUGCUCAUUUUUUUGGAAUCAAUAUGCACUGAGGAAAGCAGGGGAUUCCUCCCUGUGCCGCUGUGUCAAAUCCUUGUAGCUUUACCAAUCAGGUUUCUCGUUGGACUAGUUUCAAACAUUAAAAAUGUUGACUUUUUUAUUGGAGCAAGAAUGCCAUUUUAACUUAUUGGAGAACAAGUCCAGCCUUAUAUUGAAUUCGUUCUCUUUCUCUAUCUUUUUGUAUCUUGCUUCCGCUUCAGUCUUAUUGUUUACUUCAUUUCCAAUUUGCUUGCAGUGAGACAUACCAAUACUAUGAAUUACCGUUCUGCCGUCCAGGUUAGCCUUUCAAAGAAGCAUAAUUAGAAAAGCUUUCAUGUUUUAGUAGAUACUAGUGCUAUUUUAGAAUCACUUUUGUUGAAAUUUUUCUUUAUGGAAUAGUCCGUUUGAAGGUCUUCUCCUUAGCUUGCAGAUCCAGUAGUCCCAAAGAAAGCAACCUUGGGGGAGGUUUUAAAUGGGGAUCGGCUGAAUGGUGCCUUGCAUGUGAUAAAAUUUAGGGAAGAGAAACGAUGGGAAACUCUAUGUGAAAAGAAGCUAAAAGGUGCUGAAGUUUCAUUGUUCAGGGAUGCUGUCAGGGAUGAUUUUUACUUCCAACUGUAUUGUGAUGAUCUUCCAGUGUGGGGUUUUGUUGGCAAAAUUGAUGAACAGAGUUGGUCCCUAGACAAGCAGGGUCCAAAAUAUUAUCUCUUCACACAUAUUCAGUUUGACGUUUCCUUUAAUGAGAACCAAAUUGUUGAAGUUAGUGCAUUUAGUGAUCCAAAUCAUGUUGUUGAUAUAACAAAUGAUGUUGAACUCAAUGUCAAGUUCACUUAUUCUAUUGUUUGGAAUGAAACUUCGGCUCUGUAUGGAGAUAGAAUGAAUAAGUAUUCGAGGGCUUCACUACUGCCUAUCAGUCAGAGAAUUCACUGGUUUUCAUUCCUUAAUUCAAUUGCUAUUAUUGUGCUGUUGAUGGGAUUGCUUACUUUGCUUUUUAUGCGACGUCUCAAGAAUGAUUUGAGGAAGUAAUGUCUUGUAAAUAAAUUCUGCUCGAGUCUUUUAAAUUUUAAUAAAGCUUGCUCUGUAAAUUAUCUGACCUUCUUUUUUCCUUUUUGUGUGUGUGUGUGUGUUUAGGUGUUCUGGUGGUGAUGAAGAGGAUGAAAAAGAGGUUGUUUGGAAGUAUCUUCAUGGAGAUGUAUUUAGAUGUCCUCAAAAUUUACCCCUCUUUAGUGCCGUUUUGGGUGUCGGUACACAGCUUCUGACUAUGUAAGUUAAUUUGAACUAUUUCUUCUAUAAUCGAUCUUCAUUUUAAAAUAUUGAUAUGUCAACUGCAAUACUAGCAUUUUUAUUAUGCAUUCGGAUAACAGAAGAAUUGUGUCCAUGUAUUAUCCUCAUCGGCGGUACAAUUAAUUGCCAGAGUUUUACUGAAGCAACCUUGACCAUUGCAUUUUAAAAUACAACCAUCACUUACUUCCUAGGAAAGUGAUAGACCCCUCAUACUCAAGGUGUAUUCAUGUAGGGAUAAAAGUGGGAAGAAGAAAGAAUGAUUGAGAGUUAGUAAUUUUUACUGUAUGGACCCUUAGGAGCAUGCUUGUUACCGGCCAAGUAUUCUGUUAAUUUUUUCAGUAUUUGACUAUUUAGGUAUCUAGAAUGGUUGGGGGAGGGUAUUUUUUUGCUAAAUGAUUUUGGUGUAGAAUUCUCAAUAGAGAAGCAUGGAGAGACUGGGGAGCUCUCAAAUUCUUGCCCAAUAGUUGAUAAAUAAAAUUGUGGCCGAGGCCUUAACAAUUUUGGUACUAGAGCCAUUGUUUUUGGAAUGGUUGGUCAAGCUAGGGUGAUCGAACUGGAAGAAAAUUUGGUGGGAGUAAACAUAGGGAUGACCGAGAUAGAAGGUAGAGUAGAAGAAAAGUUCUUGCGAGUAGAAGAACGAAAGUUAGCAUUCGAAAGGAAGAUGGACACACAGUUUGCAGAAGCAGAAAUUCGAAGGAGAAUGGCAGAAUAGAAGAUUGAGGUAAAUCUGUCAAAAUUGAGUGAGGAUUUGUUGUUGAUACAAGGGAUGGGAGUGAUGGGAAGUGCAUCGAGAGGAUUUACAUCUAGUUAAAGAACUAUCACAAACAAGGGAAAAAAUAAUUAAUGAGGAACAAAUUCAGGAAGAAAAAAGUGAACAAAAAACUAACCUAGUUGUGGAUGAAGGAAUCAAAGUACCUUGUGCACCAAACCAUCGUGAGAUACCCCUCUUGGACAUGAGGUUAUGGAAAUUAGAGGUACCAAUAUUUAAAGGAUAAGAAGAAGAAAAUGUGGACAAAUGGCCACAUCACAUGGAACACUAUUUUGUGGUGAAU